GUCCACGCUGUAAACGAUGAGUGCUAGGUGUCGUGGGUAUUGACCCCGCGGUGCCGCAGCUAACGCAUUAAGCACUCCGCCUGGGAAGUACGGUCGCAAGACUAAACUCAAAGGAAUUGACGGGGCCCGCACAAGCGGUGGAGCAUGUGGUUUAAUUCGACGCAACGCGCAGAACCUUACCUGGGCUGGAAAGUGUUCGGAAGUCUUGUGAAAACGAGAUGUGCCCGCAAGGGAGCCGAGUGACAGGUGCUGCAUGGCUGUCGU
rnacentral:rRNA from 1 species